ensembl:lncRNA
UGAGAUUUUAAUAUGAGGCCAAAUACAACCAGUGCAAAAUACAUUCUGUAAAAUCUAAAAACACAAAAAAAGUUACACAUUUUCUCUGCAGUUAUUAGUUUGGAAGCCUUUGCAUUCACAGUACACUUUGUAAUAUGUUCAUGUGCAUAGACCGUUCCCUUUAAAACACUUUAAAAACAGAUAUAAUGUCAGUUCAUGUCACGCAAAGACAAACUUUAAAAUAAAAAUGACCAAAACAUUUCAAAAUAAAAGUCUAUUUACACAUGAAGCUUUGGUCCCAUUACAUUUACAAACAAUGAGCUUGAAGAAACAUUUAAGGCUCAAUUAUUAUUAUUUUGAAAACCCGAGUACGCAGGAAGUACAUGGGAAGUACAUGGGAAGUACAUGGGAAGUACAUGGGAAGUACAUGGGAAGUACGUGGGAAGUACAUGGGAAGUACAUGGGAAGUACGUGGGAAGUACACGGGCGACAUGUUGUAGUGUUUUUCAUUGAAAGAGCUGAAAUCUGAAUGACUCAUGUGUUUGUUGUGAUGAUGAUGUGAUUUGUUGGUAAGCAGUGACUCAUCUGGACUGUGGAAAUGAUGAUAAUGAAGUGUUUCUCUGACCCUGCGCCGCCUCGAGUCUCACAGCAACAGAGAUUAUGUAAAACAAGACACAUCGUUAAAAGUAACGACAUUUAAACGACGGGACUCGACGUUUACAAUGUCAUGUGUAGAAUUAGUCCAUGUGAUUCUGAACUGGACCAGGAGAAGGUUUAGAAGGUACUCGUCUGACCAGUGUGUCCUCUGUGUCCUCUCUGACCAGUGUCGUCUGUGUGUGUCUCUGGACAGAGGACACACUUGUCAAUGUGUUGCGUGUGUGUCCUCUGUCUGACCAGUGUGUCAUGUGUGCCUCUGACCAGUGUGUCGUCUGUGUCCUCUGUGUGUCCUCUCUGACCAUUGUGUCGUGUGUGUCCUCUGUGUCGUUCCUCUCUGACCAGUGUGUCGUGUGUGCGUCUCUGGACAGAGGACACACACAGAGGACACACUUGUCAAUGUGUCGCGUGUGUGUCCUCUGUGUGACCAGUGUGUCGUGUGUGUCCUCUGUGUGACCAGUGUGUCGUGUGUGUCCUCUGUCUGACCAGUGUGUCGUGUGUGUCCUCUGUGUGACCAGUGUGUCGUGUGUGUUACAGAUCUCAUGAUGGUUUCUGUAUUUAAAACAAAUUAACUCAAAAAUAAAAAGUCCGUUGAAGCCUGUUGUACUUUUACGUCUUUAAAUCUGAAUCACACUGAAGUUCAUUGACAAACAUCUUUGACUUUUCCAGUUUGAUUUUGUGUAACUAAAGUCACAUCGUCUCGUUCCUGCCCGUGUGUGACGCUGUGGUUGUUUAGUCUGAGCUCCGCUGGUCGACAGCAGCAGCUCCACAUGUUCAGCUCAUGGAGGAGCAUCUGACUCAGUGUGUCCUGCUCUGUGGGACCAAACGGGACAAACACACGAGACAAACACACGAGACGUCCUCUUUUCUGUCUCACGCUGUGUUCAGGGUCACAACUAAAUUAAAUAUUGUGGCCGUGUCAGAUGAGGAUCAUGUUUUUAGAUGAUGUUGUUGCUCUUAUGUUUGAGUUUCAUUCUUGUUCUAAUGACAUAAAGUCGUUUAAAUCACAUGGUCCACACUCUACACUGCCCCCUUCUGGACUCAUUAUAAAAAGCCAGUCUUCAAAAGCUGCAGGUGGAUUAUAACGACUAAACGAUAUAAUAUAUAUAUAUAUAUUAUAACGACACUUUACAGGAGGUUUUGAGGACUCUGCGAUGGACUAAAGCGACCGAGACGUUUGUCACUACACAACUGAACACUUCACUGCACUAAGAACUUUAAAGUACAGUUUUAUUUGCAGCGGAAUACGUCAGAAAAUAAAAUAAUAAAGUCACAAACAUAAGGGUCAGUGCAGUUUUCCAUCAGUCCCACAGGGGGAGACACUGGUGUGAGGACAGGGUCGUCUUUUUAAAACAUAAAUGUUACUGUUUGUUUUGUCUCUGUCCUCUUUUGUUUUAAAAAUGGAAUAAAGAUGAACUGAACUGUGUGUUUAAAGUCACAUUGUUUCUACAGGUCCAGUCACAUUUAACAGACAGAACAUGAUUAAACUGCAGAUUUGUGAUGUAAAACGGCAGGUUCUUGGGUCUAGAGUGGAAUAAUAGAAAUGAUCAGGUUCAACAUUUGUAGAAUCAAUACAAAAAUCUGUCUCAUGGCGUUAUUACCUGUGUGUGUGUGUGUGUGGGGGGGUGGGGGUGCGUGUGUGUGUGUGUGAUAUUUGGCAAAGUAAAACUAACUCAUUCCGUCAUUCUUUCAAUAAUAUUUGACACAAAAAUAAAACUGUUUCCUGUAAAAAGCUCUUUUCUACAUUAUUCUUUGUCAGUAUCUGUCAGUUCGUCGCCGUUUCACUCAUCGCUCAGUCUGUAGAGUCACCGUCGAGUCGGGGCGCGGCGACACCGAGAUAAAAAUCGAAUCAUGAGCUCAUCUGUGACGAUAAACUGUUUUUGGAGCUGAGCGUCUCUCUCCUGUGAGGUUCUUUCAGUCUUUAACUCCAAAAAAACACAUUUAACACAAGCGAAACGGGAUUUCUUGGUAUUUUGAUGCACUUUUUCUAAACAUUUGGUGUUAAUUCUGAAUGUACUGUAUUUUUUUUUGCUCAUGUGAAGCAGUUUGUUCAGCUGAAGUUAUUAAAAAGCACUAUUAAUAUAUAGAACUAAACUUGAGUGACAGGAGGAGACGUGUGAGCAGGAGCAGCUCACGUUUGUUCCUUAAAAAGGAUCUGGCUCUGACAUUGUUGUAUUUGUCGUCGCCGGGUCGUAUGUACAGACGAGCUCUAACUGUCCUGUUGGCUCUGGAUCAUCCGGAGCUUGGUCUUCAGGCCCUGGUGGUAGGACGUCAGGCUGCUGUGGUCCUCCUUCAGUUUGCUGUGCUCCUGGAUCAGGUGUGAGGAGGUCUGCUGCUCCCUCUGCUCCUGCUCCAGCUCCAGAGUCAACUCCUGCCUGACACAGACAAAACAAAAAUAUAAGAUCAGUGUCUCUAAAACGUUUCACCACCAAAGGAAACAUUUAGC